UGCAGAUGUUGCGAAACAAAGGCAACUUUAUGCACAACAAUGAUGUGCUGAAGAAAGGAUCGGGUGCCCUGAAAGUUAAACGCCGUUCUGUAAAACGAACCGCAAACAAGUACACGUACUGUGUUCAUUGCCGGGGGAUGUUUGUUUGCGAGGUACUCAAGAGGCACAUGAAGAAUUGCUCAGCCAAAAGAGUCCAUCAGGAAGCACUGGGAGCACAGGGUCCUGCUGAAGUGGCCAACGCUGCAAUUCCAGUGUGCUCUUCUGUGUCUGAAUCACACAGUUUCCAGAGUGUGCCUGAUUCACCUGAAAGCCUGGACAAAGAUCUGUUGCUAGGUAACAAAUUUGAUCCUGAAUCACAGUCUGACUUGAACUCAAAAACUGAACUGGAUUUAGAAAGGACUAUCAGCAACACUAUUGAGAACUCUCUGGAGCCCUGCAUGACCACUGAGAGGAAGUCCUCUAGUCUGAACAUCACAGGAGAUUCACUCAUUCACAAUCUGUCCUCCUUACCUGACUUAAGCCCCAGCAGCAUCA
rnacentral:lncRNA from 1 species